rnacentral:rRNA from 1 species
CUGGCUCAGGAUGAACGCUAGCGACAGGCUAACACAUGCAAGUCGAGGGCAGCGCGGGGUAGCAAUACCUUGGCGGCGACCGGCGCACUGGUGAGUAACACGUAUGCGACCUGCCCCGGACAGGGGGAUAAACCCGGGAAACUGGGCCUAAUACCCCAUAUGCCCCGAGGACGCAUGUCCUUGCGGUGAAAGAUCCGUCGGUCCGGGAUGGGCAUGCGGCGCAUUAGCUUGUUGGCGGGGCAACGGCCCACCAAGGCGACGAUGCGUAGGGGUUCUGAGAGGAAGGUCCCCCACACUGGUACUGAGACACGGACCAGACUCCUACGGGAGGCAGCAGUGAGGAAUAUUGGUCAAUGGUCGGGAGACUGAACCAGCCAAGUAGCGUGCAGGACGACUGCCCUAUGGGUUGUAAACUGCUUUUAUGCGGGGAUAAACUUCAGCACGUGUGCUGUUUUGCAGGUACCGCAUGAAUAAGGACCGGCUAAUUCCGUGCCAGCAGCAGC